rnacentral:rRNA from 1 species
GACGAAGGUGGCUAGCGUUAUUCGGAUUCACUGGGCCUAAAGCGCGCGUAGGCGGCUCUUCAAGUCGGUGGUGAAAGCCCGCAGCUCAACUGCGGAACAGCCUUCGAUACUGUCGAGCUUGAGUGCAGGAGGGGUGAUCGGAACUCCAGGUGUAGCGGUGAAAUGCGUAGAUAUCUGGAGGAACACCGGAGGCGAAGGCGGAUCACUGGACUGCCACUGACGCUGAGGCGCGAAAGCUAGGGGAGCAAACGGG